rnacentral:rRNA from 1 species
UUAAAUUGAAGAGUUUGAUCAUGGCUCAGAUUGAACGCUGGCGGCAGGCCUAACACAUGCAAGUCGAACGGUAACAGAAAGCAGCUUGCUGCUUUGCUGACGAGUGGCGGACGGGUGAGUAAUGUCUGGGAAACUGCCUGAUGGAGGGGGAUAACUACUGGAAACGGUAGCUAAUACCGCAUAACGUCGCAAGACCAAAGAGGGGGACCUUCGGGCCUCUUGCCAUCGGAUGUGCCCAGAUGGGAUUAGCUAGUAGGUGGGGUAACGGCUCACCUAGGCGACGAUCCCUAGCUGGUCUGAGAGGAUGACCAGCCACACUGGAACUGAGACACGGUCCAGACUCCUACGGGAGGCAGCAGUGGGGAAUAUUGCACAAUGGGCGCAAGCCUGAUGCAGCCAUGC